AAGGCCUAACACAUGCAAGUCGAGCGGUAGAGAGAAGCUUGCUUCUCUUGAGAGCGGCGGACGGGUGAGUAAUGCCUAGGAAUCUGCCUGGUAGUGGGGGAUAACGUUCGGAAACGGACGCUAAUACCGCAUACGUCCUACGGGAGAAAGCAGGGGACCUUCGGGCCUUGCGCUAUCAGAUGAGCCUAGGUCGGAUUAGCUAGUUGGUGAGGUAAUGGCUCACCAAGGCGACGAUCCGUAACUGGUCUGAGAGGAUGAUCAGUCACACUGGAACUGAGACACGGUCCAGACUCCUACGGGAGGCAGCAGUGGGGAAUAUUGGACAAUGGGCGAAAGCCUGAUCCAGCCAUGCCGCGUGUGUGAAGAAGGUCUUCGGAUUGUAAAGCACUUUAAGUUGGGAGGAAGGGCAGUAAAUUAAUACUUUGCUGUUUUGACGUUACCGACAGAAUAAGCACCGGCUAACUCUGUGCCAGCAGCCGCGGUAAUACAGAGGGUGCAAGCGUUAAUCGGAAUUACUGGGCGUAAAGCGCGCGUAGGUGGUUUGUUAAGUUGGAUGUGAAAUCCCCGGGCUCAACCUGGGAACUGCAUUCAAAACUGACUGACUAGAGUAUGGUAGAGGGUGGUGGAAUUUCCUGUGUAGCGGUGAAAUGCGUAGAUAU
rnacentral:rRNA from 1 species